UUUAUCCUCUUUGUAUCGAAACGGCGUAUUUCCAUGCUCUUUUAAGUACGUUUCUAAUGUGGACAACAGGAAACGAUGCCACGUACACGGGAAAAUCGUUUCAAUGAAAACAUUCUCGAGGAAAGACGAGUCUUAAACAGUUUCAAGAUGAUCGCGAAAAAAGAAAGUUUCGAUUUAAUUGGAGGGGAAGGAUUAAUUCUCGACAUUGAACUUGGAAUAUUCAGGAUUCUUUGGGCGAUGGCGACGAGAGCGCUACAGCACGGUUUUCAAAGCGGCGACCAGAUUCAAGGACUGCCUCGCUUCGCGAUGCAGAUCGAUCGAACCAGUCACGGUUGUAUACGGUGUCUACCGCAUCCUGUCAUUUUCGAAACCAACCACCCUUCAUCUUCAAGAAUCUUCAAAGCGUAAAUAAAAUAUUAAACGUGACACUUUUAUAUUUGUCGCGUUAAUCGAUAAAAAUAAAGAUAUCGAUUUGUUACAAAAAAGCUUGUUCACUAAAAUUUUAGAAUAUUCCUCUUGAACUAGUUAACAACCUCCUAAGUAUCACAUACGAGACUAUGGUUUUUUAAGAACUUCCAUCCGAAAGAGAUACUCGGACAACCUUCGCAAGUUACAGCUGUCAAGUUGACAGUUCUGUACUAACCAAACAUCAACACAUUUAUCCUGACCAAACUAACGAGAUUCAUUGGAAAGGGAAAAAUCAAUAAAACGUGUUUCUAGAAAAAAGGAAAAGGCGUCUGUUGCCGUCUCGGAAGGAGCAAACCGGAUAUCCAGCAAGAGGGCUGGAGGAGCCGCAGUGCGGUAAAGAGGCGGGCAAGCGAAUCGGUUCCG